rnacentral:lncRNA from 1 species
GCUUCCGCGCUCUUUGAAAUGUCCGGCGCCGGAAUGUCUGGGUGCUUUGGUUGGAGAGGGUCCCAUUUCCAGUCAUUCUUCAGCCUGGUGAUUCCCGCGCUCCCCUGAGGAGCAUAUGAAAAAUUAGGAUUACCGAAAAUACUGAAGAAAGACUACCUCUGAUUGGACUCUUCUCAAGGAAUUAAUAAUUCAAGAACUAAGGAAAGAAAAAAGUGAUUAUAUGAAAAUACUGAAGUUGAUCGUAGCAGCUGAAGGCUGAUCCUGUGCUGAAGUACAUUGGUGCAAUCUUGGCUCACUGCAUCUCCACCCCAGGUUCAAGCGAUUCUCCUGCCUCAGCCUCCCAAGCAGCUGGGAUUACAGGUUUUGCCUUUUCCAGAAUGUCACAUAAAUGGAAUCAUACUGUGUCCGGAAUUGGUGGGUUCUUGGUCUCACUGACUUCAAGAAUGACGCCAUGGGCCCUCGCGGUGAGUGUUACAGCUCUUAAGGUGGCGCGUCUGGAGUUUGUUCCUUCUGAUGUUCGGAUGUGUUCGGAGUUUCUUCCUUCUGGUGGGUUCGUGGUCUCGCUGGCUCAGGAGUGAAGCU